UACGAAGGGGGCUAGCGUUGCUCGGAAUUACUGGGCGUAAAGGGCUCGUAGGCGGCCAACUAAGUCGGAUGUGAAAUCCCCAGGCUUAACCUGGGAACUGCAUCCGAUACUGGAUGGCUUGAAUCCGGGAGAGGGAUGCGGAAUUCCAGGUGUAGCGGUGAAAUGCGUAGAUAUCUGGAGGAACACCGGUGGCGAAGGCGGCAUCCUGGACCAACACUGACGCUGAGGAGCGAAAGCGUGGGGAGCGAACAGG
rnacentral:rRNA from 1 species